rnacentral:rRNA from 1 species
GGAUUGUAGGCUGAAACUCGCCUACAUGAAGCUGGAGUUACUAGUAAUCGCAGAUCAGAAUGCUGCGGUGAAUGCGUUCCCGGGUCUUGUACACACCGCCCGUCACACCACGGAAGUUGGGGGCGCCCGAAGCCACUUAGCUAACCCUUUGGGAAGCGAGUGUCGAAGGUGAAAUCAAUAACUGGGGUGAAGUCGUAACAAGGUAGC